AAAGACAAAGUGCUUGAUUUGGCAAAAUUGGAAUACACAGAUUAGCAUAGUCCCUGUGUAAGGAUGACACACAAAUUAGUGAAACAUUCUAUAUCUUU
rfam:Erinaceus europaeus unplaced genomic scaffold scaffold00733, whole genome shotgun sequence